CAAAAACAUCGCCUCUUGACCAAAUAUAAGAGGUCCAGCCUGCCCACUGACAUAGUUUAACGGCCGCGGUACCCUAACCGUGCGAAGGUAGCAUAAUCACUUGUUCUUUAAAUAAGGACUAGUAUCAACGGCAUCACGAGGACUAUACUGUCUCCUUUCUCCAAUCAGUGAAACUGAUCUCCCCGUGAAGAAGCGGGGAUUAACCUAUAAGACGAGAAGACCCCAUGGAGCUUAAAGCCCACAAACACCUCUACGCACUUAAACCAAUUUAGCCUAAGAGACCUGUAAGCCGGCUUUAGGUUGGGGGGACCGCGGAGAAAAACCUAACCUCCACGACAAACGGGCAAACGCCCUUAUCCAUGAAUUACAAUUCUAAGAAUCAAUAAACUGAUGUUUAUGACCCGAUUAUUCGAUCAACGAACCAAGUUACCCUGGGGAUAACAGCGCAAUCUACUUUAAGAGCUCAUAUCGACAAGUAGGUUUACGACCUCGAUGUUGGAUCAGGGUAUCCCAGUGGUGUAGCCGCUACUAAAGGUUCGUUUGUUCAACGAUUAAAACCCUACGUGAUCU
rnacentral:rRNA from 1 species